GCAGGAAGACCUCGUUAACUACCUAUUUUAAUCCACAGAAAGCAGGAUCUUUAACAUCAUGAAACUGCACAAACUAUAAGCAUUACAGUUUGAAUCAUGACUAAGCGCUGACAAAUCCCAUCCUCCAGCUCCACAAUUUUAUCAUACACCAGUUCCUGCAAUUGAAAUCUAAACCAGCAAAAGUAGUGCAUACGCUAGAAACCAAAGCAAAGAUAUUCAAUGUAGAGCUGUACAGGUUACUAAGUUGAAUCAAAUAAAAUCUAACAAUCAACUAUGAACUAUUCACAAAAUUAUUACAGCAAAAGGUACAAUAAACUAAUUAAAGUGCACAUUUCCCCCGUUAGAGUGGUGAGAGUACAUCUAAUGCGUUAGUUCCUUUAUCCAUCAAAUCAAGCUGCAC
rnacentral:lncRNA from 1 species